UUAAGUUUCUUCAGCAAACAAGCGAAUUCCAUUUUCAAGCAACUAACACAAUUUACAGAUAUUUUCACGCCUAUCUCGCUGAAUAUCAAAUUGUAUGGAGAUUACCUCGAGCCGCAGAGAGUCUGGUCCUUGUUCUGCGCUAUCGGACCGUACUCUUCUGUGUUUUUAUAUACGUGUACUUCCCAACUGCAUUGUUUCCUUUCGCCUUUAUGAAACGCUGGACAAAUAAACGUACGAAAUACAGUGGGGAUAUUCCAGGGUAUAUCUUUUUAUAGUUACGUUUUAUAAUUUUGGGAAAUAAAACUCAUUUUCUUGCAUAUUGUUAUGAUAUUAAAGUCGAUUUCAUUUAAAUUUGUAUUUAAUUUUGUCAUUACCGUGUUUCAGUUGUAUUCAUUCCUGUCUUGAACUUUCACUUCCAUGACAUAGCACUUCACAAGCCUCCCAGGUAUGGAGCGUUAUACAGUGCAGAAUGGACUUGAAGAGUGACGGAGGAAGAAAAUCACUUAGCAGCUUCAGAACUUUAACUUCACAUCUGUUACUGUGAUUUACCUUACAUCAGUAAGGCUGGAAUGGAGAGGGCAGAGAGUGUGCAUGGAACAAGCUGGUUCUAGUGCCCACCCAGCCUCCUUCUCAAUGGGAGUUCGGGACUCCAUCUCCGGGGAAGCAGCGGUGGCCUGAAGACAACCACGCACAUCCAUCUAGUGCUGAUGACAAGAAUUCUUCAGCUGUGCCUUUCUCCUUCACAAGCUCACAUGGCAUACUUACAUGAUUCACUCUUGACGCUGAUUUUCCCUGGGUCUUUGCAAUAUGUGAAUGUGUGCAGCAUUCCGACGUUUCGAUGAUACAUGUCGACUCCAUCUUCUGGACCUAAGUGUGUAGUGUGAAUGAAUUUUAUUGCUCUCUCCUGUUAACGUUAACUUUAAUUUUACUUGGAAUUAUUAUUAAUCUAUUCUCAUUAUGU